rnacentral:rRNA from 1 species
AUUGAACGCUGGCGGCAUGCUUUACACAUGCAAGUCGAACGGUAACAGGCCGCAAGGUGCUGACGAGUGGCGAACGGGUGAGUAAUGCAUCGGAACGUGCCCACUCGUGGGGGAUAACUACUCGAAAGAGUAGCUAAUACCGCAUACGAUCUAUGGUUUAAAGCGGGGGACCGUAAGGCCUCGCGCGAUUGGUGCGGCCGAUGUCAGAUUAGGUAGUUGGUGGGUUAAUGGCUCACCAAGCCAACGAUCUGUAGCUGGUCUGAGAGGACGACCAGCCACACUGGGACUGAGACACGGCCCAGACUCCUACGGGAGGCAGCAGUGGGGAAUGUUGGACAAUGGGCGCAAGCCUGAUCCAGCAAUGCCGCGUGCGGGAAGAAGGCCUUCGGGUUGUAAACUGCUUUUGUACGGGACGAAACGACUCUGGUUAAUACCCGGAGCUAAUGACGGUACCGUAAGAAUAAGCACCGGCUAACUACGUG